CCUACGGGCGGCAGCAGUGAGGAAUAUUGGUCAAUGGCCGGAAGGCUGAACCAGCCAUGCCGCGUGAAGGUCAGUGCCCUAUGGGCGUUAAACUUCUUUUGUGCGGGAGCAAUAAUGGUCACGUGUGGCCAGACGAGAGUACCGUACGAAUAAGCAUCGGCUAACUCCGGGCCAGCGGCCGCGGUAAUACGGGGGAUGCAAGCGUUAUCCGGAUUUAUUGGGUUUAAAGGGUGCGUAGGCGGUGAGGUAAGUCAGCGGUGUAAUGCCCCCGCUCAACGGGGUGAAGUGCCAUUGAUACUGCCGUGCUGGAAUGCGGAUGCGGUGUGAGGAAUGUGUGGUGUAGCGGUGAAAUGCAUAGAUAUCACACAGAACACCGAUUGCGAAGGCAUCUCACGAAUCCGCGAUUGACGCUGAUGCACGAAAGCGUGGGUAUCAAACAGGAUUAGAUACCCCUGUAGUC
rnacentral:rRNA from 1 species